AAAUUGUCUAAUUGUAUUGAAAUCCCUUUUGUCGAUUUGGAUAAAAAGAUCGAAGAGAAAGCAAAUUUAUC
rnacentral:misc_RNA from 1 species